rnacentral:rRNA from 1 species
CUAGCGGCAGCCUUAACACAUGCAAAGUCGAGGGGCAGCGAUCUUAGCUUGGUUAGAUGUUCGGCGACCGGCGCACGGGUGCGCACCGCGUAUGGAACCUGCCUUUCUACAGGGGGAAAUAGCCCCAGGAAACUUGGAUUAAUGCCCCGUAGUACUAUUAUUUGGCAUCAUUUAAUAGUUAAAGCCUUCGGGCGGUAGAAGAUGGCCAUGCGUCCCAUUAGCUUGUUGGUAAGGUAACGGCUUACCAAGGCUACGAUGGGUAGGGGCCCUGAGAGGGG